AGUGAACGCUGGCGGUAGGCCUAACACAUGCAAGUCGAACGGCAGCACAGGAGAGCUUGCUCUCUGGGUGGCGAGUGGCGGACGGGUGAGGAAUACAUCGGAAUCUACUCUGUCGUGGGGGAUAACGUAGGGAAACUUACGCUAAUACCGCAUACGACCUACGGGUGAAAGCAGGGGAUCUUCGGACCUUGCGCGAUUGAAUGAGUCGAUGUCGGAUUAGCUAGUUGGCGGGGUAAAGGCCCACCAAGGCGACGAUCCGUAGCCGGUCUGAGAGGAUGAUCAGCCACACUGGAACUGCGACGCGGUCCAGACGCCGACGGGGGGCAGCAGUGGGGAAUAUUGGACAAUGGGCGCAAGCCUGAUCCAGCCAUACCUCGUGGGUGAAGUAGGCCUUCGGGUUGUAAAGCCCUUUUGUUGGGAAAGAAAUCCAGCUGGCUAAUACCCGGUUGGGAUGACGGUACCCAAAGAAUAAGCACCGGCUAACUUCGUGCCAGCAGCCGCCGCAG
rnacentral:rRNA from 1 species